GGAUUAGAUACCCUGGUAGUCCACGCCGUAAACGAUGGAUACUCGCUGUGGGCGAUAGACAGUCCGCGGCUGAGCGAAAGCGCUAAGUAUCCCACCUGGGGAGUACGCCGGCAACGGUGAAACUCAAAGGAAUUGACGGGGGCCCGCACAAGUGGUGGAGCAUGUGGUUUAAUUCGAUGAUACGCGAGGAACCUUACCUGGGCUAGAAUGUGCGUGAAGAUGUCAGAAAUGGCAUCGUCCUUCGGGACACAAAACAAGGUGCUGCAUGGCUGUCGUCAGCUCGUGCUG
rnacentral:rRNA from 1 species